rnacentral:lncRNA from 1 species
UAAAUAAGUCUUUAUGCUUAUGUGUGAUCGUUUUUAAUUCUCAAAGCUCAAUAGACUUUUUCGAGUUUCCCGAAAGGGAAAUCUCUCUCCUAUAAGCAUGUAAGUUACUCACCUUUAUCUAAAUUAUGUUUCUGCUAGAUACUUACCCCUAUUUAUUUUAAAAAUUUUUGUUAUUCUGUAUAGUUUUAUGUUUCAUGUUCAUAUGCUCGAUUAUUAGAUAUCACUCUUAGUAUAUGGUUAACUUCCCAAUUUCUUAGCAAUUAUGAUGGAUUAACCUGUAAAUUCCUAGGAAAAACUGGUUAAGUAAAAUCUGAAAACAAUUAAGAAGGGUAUAAGUGUUUAACUAUGGUCGGGUGAGGUUAAAGAAAUAAGAGUUAAGAAAGGUGUCAAAAACUUUAAAAUAUUGGGAAGAAGAGAUGAACAGAGUGGAUUAAAAAAAAGAGUAGUAAAGGGGUAAUCUCAGUUCAUAAUUUAGUUAAUAUGGUAACUAUACAAGUCUAUAGAAUAAGAGAGAGAGAGUACCGAGUAGGAUUUUCACAACAUAAGAGUUUAAUCGCAAAAAAUAAUUUUAUUGUUAAUGUCCAAUAAUCGUAAUAACUAUACAAAUCGAGAAAGCUUUGCUAGGAGCCUUACUCAAAGUUUGGAAGAAUUUAUAUUAGACAUAGAAACCGGAUUUUAUUCGAUAGUAGAUUUGGCCGUACAUUUUAUAUAUCUACAAUACAAUAGUAGUAUCUGUUCAGAUAGAUAUAGAAAACAACUGCAUUUGAUAUAGUUAAUAUUAUCAUACCAUCAGUCAUAUCAUCUAUACCAUCUAAGAAGACGAUUUUAAUUUUUUAACUCUAACUUUUUAGGCAACUUUAACUGACUUUAACUUUUUAACCCCUUCUUAUAUAUAUAUAUAUAACAGUAUCAAGGUGGUUAAACUUAUGAGGUGUAACACAUUCAAUAUGGAGGCUUUUCCAUUCAUCUGCUCAAAUAGUUCAAGAGCAUCAGCCAAACCAAGGAAAAGCUCAUUGGUCGUCUCUUUGGUUCUUCAGAAUCAUUUGAGAGUUGCAAAAUAAAAUUCAGGGAAGUUGGAGAAGAGGGAUGUCUUUUAUUUAAUUUAUGUAAAAAGAGGAGGGUAUCGCCGUUCUCUAUUUUUCAGAGAAAAAGGUCCACCUUUUUGAGAAGGUUCAAUCUCUUUCUUUUUAUGUGGGAUCCGAUCUUUUUUAGUGAAGAAAAAAGGGAAAGCUGCGCUAGGUCUAGAAAAAUGGGGAAGGGAUCCCAUUUUUAGGUCUAGGAACUAGGUUUUAAUUAAAGGGGAUGGGUUUUGGGUCGGUUCGGGUCGGGUCAGGCGGGUUUGGGGCUGUUUUGGGGGAAUUUGGGAUUGGACUAGUUUAGAAAGAAAUGGCCAAUUCGGCCAAAAACCCUUUUUAAAAUUUUUUUAAAGACUAAUUAAUUUAAAUAAACCCUAAACUAAGUCCUAAAUUAUCUUUAUUUGCAAAAUUAAACUAAUUAUCCAUUUGUAUUAAUUAUAAAAAUUACUUAAUCCUAAAUUAAAAGAGAAAAAUCAAUAAUCUAAAAAUUAAAAGGUAAAAAAUGUAAAAUGAGCCAUUUUUUUGAUUUUCAACUUUAAUAAAAUAAAUAAUUAACUAAAUAAUCCUAAAAUUAUAAAAAUAAAAAUCUAAAUACAAUGCAUGGUAUUUUUUUGAUUUUAAUAAAAAUUAAACGCGCACAAAAAUAUAAACAAUUAAUAAAAUUCUACAAAAAUUCCUAAAAAUAUCAAAUAAUUAAGUAAAAUCUAUUUUCUUGGGUUUUGUUUAGGAGUAGUUCGUAGAGGACAAAAAUCACAUGCUCACAACGACCAAUCAUCAUACUCCUACCAUAUAUACUGGUAUCCGAGCCCGAAGGUAGUACCAUGACAUUUCAGCAGUAUCGGUUUGGUAAUACCGUGGAGAUUCUUCCCAAGCCCUUUGUCGGGUUCAUACCUAGACCAUGCCAGUAUGCUUUCUAUUUUGCUACUCUAUCAUUUGCCUUUCUCAACGGCAUUGACACGUUCGAUGUGAUGAUAGGUUUCCCCUCCUGCCGUACUUCUGUUUCCGAUAACCGGGAUGGUUUGACUGGUGUAAAUAGGGUUACUCCCGUCUCUGUGAAUAAUCACCUCCUGAUAGAUCCAUUCAAAUUUCAUGACUUGAUAUAGUGUGGAAGCCACAGCCCCAGCUGCAUGUAUCCAUGGUUGGCCCAACAGAAGAUUGUAUAAGGCUGAUAUGUCGAGUACCUGGAAUUCCACGUCGAACCAAGUUGGCCCCAUCUGCAGACAAAGAUUAAUUUCUCCAAUCGUGGCCCUUUGAGACCCAUCGAAGGCUUUCACGUUCAUGCUUCCUGCCCGUAUUUCAUGGAAACCUUUGCCCAAUCUUUUCAGAGUAUUCAAUGGACAAAUAUUGAGGCUUGAACCUCCAUCAAUCAAGACCCUGACAAUGAAUUUGUCUUCAAAUUGCACUGUGAUAUGCAAUGCUCGGUUGUGAUUCAACCCUCCAGGUGGUAGCUCAUCCUCGUGGAAGAUUAUUUUAUGACUUUCCAGCAUUUUCCCUACCAUGUUGGCCAUCUCUCCACAGAUGAUAUUGUUGGGAACGUAAGCUUCAGUCAACACAUUCAUCAAAGCAUUCUUGUGCGCCUCUGAAUUUUGCAAUAGUGAUAGUAUGGAUAUCUGAGUUGUAGUUUUGUUUAAAUGAUCGAUGACGGAGUAUUACCUUGCUUGUACUUUCCUCCAUAGGUCAUCUGGUCCUAUUUCAAUGACAGGCUGCUUGGCAGUUGCAUCCUUACUUGGUCCUCCCAAGU